rnacentral:rRNA from 1 species
CAGUAGCCGCGGGAAUACGUAGGUGGCAAGCGUUGUCCGGAUUUAUUGGGCGUAAAGCGAGCGCAGGCGGUUUCUUAAGUCUGAUGUGAAAGCCCCCGGCUCAACCGGGGAGGGUCAUUGGAAACUGGGAAACUUGAGUGCAGAAGAGGAGAGUGGAAUUCCAUGUGUAGCGGUGAAAUGCGUAGAUAUAUGGAGGAACACCAGUGGCGAAGGCGGCUCUCUGGUCUGUAACUGACGCUGAGGCUCGAAAGCGUGGGGAGCAAACAGGAUUAGAUACCCGUGUAGUCCCUGUCUCUUAUAC